rnacentral:rRNA from 1 species
AUUGAACGCUGGCGGCAGGCCUAACACAUGCAAGUCGAGAGGAGCGGCGGACGGGUGAGUAAUGUAUGGGGAUCUGCCCGAUAGAGGGGGAUAACUACUGGAAACGGUAGCUAAUACCGCAUACUAUCGGAUGAACCCAUAUGGGAUUAGCUAGUUGGUGGGGUACAGGCCUACCAAGGCGACGAUACGUAACUGGUGUGAGAGGAUGAUCAGUCACACUGGAACUGAGAAACGGUCCAGACUCCUACGGGAGGCAGCAGUGGGGAAUAUUGGACAAUGGUCGAAAGCCUGAUCCAGCCAUGCCGCGUGUGUGAAGAAGGUCUUCGGAUUGUAAAGCACUUUAAGUUGGGAGGCGUUACCAACAGAAUAAGCACCGGCUAACUUCGUGCCAGCCGCCGCGGUAAUUC